ACACGUGGUAUCCUGUCUGAAUAUGGGGGGACCAUCCUCCAAGGCUAAAUACUCCUGACUGACCGAUAGUGAACCAGUACCGUGAGGGAAAGGCGAAAAGAACCCCGGCGAGGGGAGUGAAAAAGAACCUGAAACCGUGUACGUACAAGCAGUGGGAGCACGCUUAGGCGUGUGACUGCGUACCUUUUGUAUAAUGGGUCAGCGACUUAUAUUCUGUAGCAAGGUUAACCGAAUAGGGGAGCCGAAGGGAAACCGAGUCUUAACUGGGCGUUAAGUUGCAGGGUAUAGACCCGAAACCCGGUGAUCUAGCCAUGGGCAGGUUGAAGGUUGGGUAACACUAACUGGAGGACCGAACCGACUAAUGUUGAAAAAUUAGCGGAUGACUUGUGGCUGGGGGUGAAAGGCCAAUCAAACCGGGAGAUAGCUGGUUCUCCCCGAAAGCUAUUUAGGUAGCGCCUCGUGAAUUCAUCUCCGGGGGUAGAGCACUGUUUCGGCAAGGGGGUCAUCCCGACUUACCAACCCGAUGCAAACUGCGAAUACCGGAGAAUGUUAUCACGGGAGACACACGGCGGGUGCUAACGUCCGUCGUGAAGAGGGAAACAACCCAGACCGCCAGCUAAGGUCCCAAAGUCAUGGUUAAGUGGGAAACGAUGUGGGAAGGCCCAGACAGCCAGGAUGUUGGCUUAGAAGCAGCCAUCAUUUAAAGAAAGCGUAAUAGCUCACUGGUCGAGUCGGCCUGCGCGGAAGAUGUAACGGGGCUAAACCAUGCACCGAAGCUGCGGCAGCGAC
rnacentral:rRNA from 1 species